rnacentral:tRNA from 1 species
GCGAGCAAAGCGCAACGGUUGCGCAUCUCAGUGCCACUGAGAAGGCUGUGAGUUCGACUCUCACUGCUCGCU